ACUCUUGAUCAGUUGCCAUAGCCAUCUAUGAGAUUGUAUCUGGGCUUUGAACAGAAUGUUUAAUUGCAUUUUAUUAGAGUUGUGUGCUAUUGAUAGAGGAUAAGAGAGGGCCAGGAGCUGACUAAGGCUUUGGAACAGAAACCAGAUGAUGCACAAUAUUAUUGUCAAAGAGCUUAUUGUCACAUUCUUCUUGGGAGUUACUAUGUUGCUGUUGCCGACACAAAGAAGUCUUAUGAACUCAAUCCAAAUAAUUCCACUGCUAUGCUGAGAAAAGGGGGCUGGCGGCAUGGAGUCUUGCUCUGUCACCCAUCCUCGAGUGCAAUGGCACCAUCUUAGUUCACUGCAGCCUUGAAUUCCAGGGCUCGAGCCAUCCUUCUGCCUCUGCCUCCUGAGUAGGUGGGACUACAGGCAUGUGCCACCAUACUGAGCUAAUUUGUUAAACACUUUUUUUGUAGAGACGAGGUCUUGCUACGUUUCCCAGACUG
ensembl:lncRNA MRPS31P5 mitochondrial ribosomal protein S31 pseudogene 5